AUCCUACCUUCCAUUCCAACUGUCACUCUGUGAGCUGAGAGAUUCAAAUUUGGUGACAGAUGAGAAGCUGUCACCCUCACACCUCGAGUGUUUGAGAAUGGGAAAUCUGAAUUGUUAUUUUGGAGGAUCUUGCUUCAGGAAUGAAAGAAGAAACAUUCAUCUAAUGUCAAGAAAAUCACCCACUAGCUGGGCCAGAAUAAUCCACUUCUGGCCACAUAAGAGGGUGCACCCUAUCAAUGACUCAGAAGAAGCUCCCACUGAGUCCCUGUUGGAAGACCUGGACCUGCCCAGUGACAGGGCAGACGAGAAGGCCCCGCCUACCCCCAAGGUUAAUGGGACAAAUGAUGAAAAUGCUACAUGUGUUGGAACCACUCCUCUGCUAACGGGAAAUCUAGCUGAUGCUGACGAAGAAGCUCCCCCUGUGGACCUGUUGGAGGACCUGACUGACGACAGGACAGAGGAAGAGAUCCCACUUACUGCCAAGGAGGAUGCAAGAGCUGGUGAAAACCCUCCCCCGGAGGAUUUGUUGAAGGACAGAGCAGAGGAGGAAGCUUCACCCAUCUCUAAGAAUGCAUUUUGGAAAGCAUAUAUGACAGUGGAAAUGAAUGCAACACAGACAAGAUGCUGGACAGCUCAUGGAGCAACCAGGAUGAAGAUGCUACAGGUCUCAGGAGAGAGCUUCAGGAUAGCAAAGCCAGAGAGGGCCCUGCUGAUCUUAGAUCCCUCUGCUCCAACCAGACAUGCCUCUGUAGAGGCCCCAGCCUCUGUUACGCUCAUCCUGUGACCUCUCCUCAGGCCUGCCCUGCUCUGUCCCCUCCGUCUCUGAGGUUCAGGGCAAACAUGGGCAGAAUACUACUUCGAGUCUAAUGAAGAAUCGGAUCAGGAGAGCAACAGUCUGCAUGUUCUGCUCUGACACCUGUGAAGGCCUUGACCUUGGGGCCUCAUCCUGGGCCUCAGAGGGGAACGAAGCAGUACAGAGUCAGGAGGUUUCCAACUGGACAAGGAACAGGGUUGGCCUCACUGCUCAUCUCCUAAGGAACCUAAUUUAGUACAGC
ensembl:lncRNA